UUGAACCCUCCAAGCAGUGGAUCAUUUUCAAACACAGUCACAGGAAGUAGUUCACAACUGAAUCCUUCAAGCAGCGGAUCCUUUUCAAAGACCAUCACAGGCAAGUAAUCAUGUAUCCUUUAUGUAUUUGUCUGAUAGCACUGGAUCACCACCAAAUCAGUUCACACUAAUAAUUUAUUCAUUAGGUUUUCCACCGUUGAACCCUCCAAGCAGUGGAUCAUUUUCAAAGAUAGUCACAAGAAGUAAGCUUUUACUCUGUUUUUAUUUUUCAGAUUGAAAGAUUGUUUUUUCUUCUGUAUGAAUUUGUCAGCUUUCAAAAUAGGAUGUUGUGCUGUUCAUGAGUUAUUUUUUCUUUACUGGAUCUCCACUGAAUGAGUUCUCACACAUAGUUAAUUGGUGAGUUUGUUCACGGUUGAUCCCUUGAAAACUAGAUCAGUUUCAGUCAGUCACAGGGAAGUAAUUUUUUUAUUCUGUAUGGAUUUGUCAGAUUGCAGAAUAACUUUUUCUCCUAUUCUAUUCAUGCAGUAUAUGUUUCCAUUGGGUCUCCACUCAGUGGGUCAUCAAAAAUAAUUUAUUGAUGAGGCUAUAUCCGUCGAUAGUGAUGAUGUGAACCUGGAAGACAGAACAUAAUUUACGUCUUUAGAGAUUUUUCUAAAUCCAAAAUAUGAAAACAAAAGCCGGAGAUCCUCACAGAACUAUGAAAUGAUGCAGCCAAGUAAUGAAAUUUGUCUUUUUUUU